rnacentral:rRNA from 1 species
UACGAAGGGGGCUAGCGUUGUUCGGAAUUACUGGGCGUAAAGCGCACGUAGGCGGACUAUUAAGUCAGGGGUGAAAUCCCGGGGCUCAACCCCGGAACUGCCUUUGAUACUGGUAGUCUCGAGUCCGGAAGAGGUGAGUGGAAUUCCGAGUGUAGAGGUGAAAUUCGUAGAUAUUCGGAGGAACACCAGUGGCGAAGGCGGCUCACUGGUCCGGUACUGACGCUGAGGCGCGAAAGCCAGGGGAGCAAACGGG